CCUAGUUUCCGUGUCCAAUAUUUGACUGUCCGUUUUAUUUAAAAAAAAUUAAAAAGAAAAGUCACACAUAAAAUGUUAAUCAUGUUUUAUCAUCUAACAACAAUGAAAAUAUGAAUUAUAAAAAAAUUUCAUAUAAGACGGACAGUCAAAAUUGGACACGGAAACCCAUGGUUUGUCUUUUU
rnacentral:pre_miRNA from 1 species